rnacentral:rRNA from 1 species
GACGAACGCUGGCGGCGUGCCUAAUACAUGCCAGUAGGACGGAGUUGCGAACGGGUGAGUAACGCGUAGGUAACUACCUAUUAGAGGGGGGUAACUAUUGGAAACGAUAGCUAAUACCGCAUACUCGUAGAUGGACAUGCGUUGUAUUAGCUAGUAGGUAGGGUAAAGGCCUCCCUAGACAAAGAUACAUAGCCGACCGGAGAGGGUGAUCACACACACUGGGACUCAGACACGGCCCAGACUCCGACGGGAGGCAGCAGUAGGGAAUCUUCGGCAAUAGGGGAAACCCUGACCGAGCAACGCCGCGUUAGUGAAGUAGGUUUUCGGAUCGUAAAGCUCUAUUGUUAAGGAAGCGGUACUUAACCAGAAAGGGACGGCUAACUACGUGCCAGCCGCCGCGGUAAUAC